rnacentral:rRNA from 1 species
CACCAGAGCCACAAGUGGUAACCAUGUUUAUUGGGUCUAAAGCAUCUGUAGCCGGUCCGAUAAGUUUUUCGUGAAAUCGUUUAGCUCAACUGAACGGCGUGCGAGAAAUACUGUCGGACUUGGAACCGGGAGGAGGUAGGAGUAUUUCAAGGGGAGCGGUAAAAUGCUAUAAUCCUUGGAGGACUACCUGUGGCGAAGGCGCCUACCUAGAACGGCUUCGACGGUGAGAGAUGAAAGCUAGGGGAGCGAUCUGGAUUAGAUACCCCUGUA